UAUCUUUGCCAAAUGGUCAAAUUUGGGCAAAGGGAAAUUGGUUGAUAUGUAAACAACCCACAGUGCCUAACCAAAGCUGCUACCUAAACAACCACAACCAACGGCCACAUAAAUAUUAGAUGACAGGACUGUUUUGCUAUGUUUCUGAAAUUGUAACAAAUUAAACUAAUAUUUUCCUUUAAAGCCCAGUUACCUGCCAACCUCGACGACCCAUCUGACACCACCCCUGCUCCCUUCUGGCUUUAGUGGCCAUGGCCCUCGUCACAACCAUGGGAGUGGUGCCAGUCGUUCUCCUGGUCCUGGCAGCCUUUGACUCAGUGUCCACAGCACACUCUUUUCCUAAUAGUUUUGGCAAAGAGUUCAUCACUGCAUUCCCGGAGAACAUCGCCUUUUACCAUCCCACUCAGCCUUACAACAGAAUUGUAAUCACAGCACUACACAGUGACACCACGGUAAUUAUGAAAAUGAGGGAACUGGGUUCCACAGAUACCAGGAACCUGAAUGCAGCACAGGAAGUUGUGAUUCAGACAAGUUGGAUAAGUGCAGAACUCAAGAGGUCAAAGUUCUCUAACAACACAAUCCAUGUGACCAGCAACAAAGACAUCAGUGUCCUUGCCAUCAGCCAAAGAGGUGAAAGCAUCCAGGCCACGGUAGUCCCACCGGUGGAGAGCUUGGGUACAGAGUACCAUGUCCCCCCUAUACCUGAGAUGAAGCAUCCUCAGCCUCAAAUAGACCCAGGGAACCAUUUGUUUAGGCUCAUCAUCAUAAACAAUAAAGAAAC
ensembl:lncRNA